rnacentral:sRNA from 1 species
GUCGUGAGAUGUUGGGUUAAGUCCCGCAACGAGCGCAACCCCUGUCGCAUGUUGCCAGCAUUAAGUUGGGGACUCAUGCGAGACUGCCGGUGACAAACCGGAGGAAGGUGGGGAUGACGUCAAGUCCUCAUGCCCCUUAUGUCCAGGGCUACACACGUGCUACAUUGGUCGGUACAAAGGGCUGCGAUACCGCGAGGUGGAGCGAAUCCCAAAAAGCCGGUCUCGGUUCGGAUUGGAGGCUGAAACUCGCCUCCAUGAAGGCGGAGUUGCUAGUAAUCCCGGAUCAGCAACGCCGGGGUGAAUACGUUCCCGGGCCUUGUACACACCGCCCGUCACACCACGAAAGCGGGCAACACCCGAAGUCGGUGACCCAACCCUCACGGGAGGGAGCCGCCGAAGGUGGGGCUCGUGAUUGGGGUGAAGUCGUAACAAGGUAGCCGUACCGGAAGGUGCGGCUGGAUCACCUCCUUUCUAGGGAGCUCCUAACUAUGGAGUCCGCCGCGUCGGCCUUAUGGCCGGCCGGCGUCCUUAGCAUGUCGACCGAACCUUGUUGGUCUUCCGCUUCGGCGGGAGCCAUUGCACUGCUGAGUUUUGAGAGACCAGCCGGGGAGUCCCCCCGGUGGCGCCCUCGCCGGUCCUCGAAAACUGCACAGUUGGCCAAAUAAGACGGGUAAAUCACCAGUCGCGCACGGGCUUCGGUCCGCGCGUGACGAUCACCGUUAAGAUAGUAAGGGCACAUGGUGGAUGCCUUGGCAUCAGGAGUCGAUGAAGGGCGUGGACGGCUGCGAUAAGCCGCGGUGAGCUGCUGAACAGGCUUUGACCCGCGGAUGC